rnacentral:rRNA from 1 species
AGUGAACGCUGGCGGUAGGCCUAACACAUGCAAGUCGAACGGCAGCACAGUAAGAGCUUGCUCUUACGGGUGGCGAGUGGCGGACGGGUGAGGAAUACAUCGGAAUCUACUUUUUCGUGGGGGAUAACGUAGGGAAACUUACGCUAAUACCGCAUACGACCUACGGGUGAAAGCAGGGGAUCUUCGGACCUUGCGCGAUUGAAUGAGCCGAUGUCGGAUUAGCUAGUUGGCGGGGUAAAGGCCCACCAAGGCGACGAUCCGUAGCUGGUCUGAGAGGAUGAUCAGCCACACUGGAACUGAGCCACGGUCCAGAGUCCUACGGGAGGCACCAGUGGGGAAUAUUGGACAAUGGGCGCAAGCCUGAUACAGCCAUACCGCGUGGGUGACGAAGGCCUUCGGGUUGUAAAGCCCUUUUGUUGGGAAAGAAAAGCAGCAGGUUAAUACCCCGCUGUUCUGACGGUAACCAAAGAAUAAGCACCGGCUAACUUCGUG